GAAAACAUUUCCUCUUAGAUAAAGAGGUAAGGCCUGCUCACUGAAUUUUAAAGAGCCGCAGUAUUCUAACUGUGCUAAGGUAGCAUAAUCAUUAGUCUUUUAAUUGAAGACUGGUAUGAAUGGCUUAACGAGAAAUUAACUUUUUUUGUUAUAAAAAUUGAAUUUAAUUUUUUAGUGAAAAAGCUAAAAUUGUUCAGAAAGACGAGAAGACCCUAUAGAGUUUUAUGUUUUAAAAAAUAAAUUUUUAUUAGAUUUUGAAUUAUUAAUUUUUAUAAACAUUUUGUUGGGGCGACAUAAAGAUAAAUAAAACUCUUUAUAUUAAAAAUUUUUAUAAAAAUAUUCUUGAUCCUUUAUAAGAGAUUAUAAGAAAAAAUUACCUUAGGGAUAACAGCGUAAUCUUUUUUGAGAGUUCUAAUCGACAAAAAGGUUUGCGACCUCGAUGUUGGACUAAAAUUUAGGCAGGGUGCAGCAGUUCUGCUUUAAGGUCUGUUCGACCAAUAAAA
rnacentral:rRNA from 1 species